ACGGUGGAUGCCCUGGCAGUCAGAGGCGAUGAAGGACGUGCUAAUCUGCGAUAAGCGUCGGUGAGGUGAUAUGAACCGUUAUAACCGGCGAUUUCCGAAUGGGGAAACCCAGUGUGUUUCGACACACUAUCAUUAACUGAAUCCAUAGGUUAAUGAGGCGAACCGGGGGAACUGAAACAUCUAAGUACCCCGAGGAAAAGAAAUCAACCGAGAUUCCCCCAGUAGCGGCGAGCGAACGGGGAGGAGCCCAGAGCCUGAAUCAGUGUGUGUGUUAGUGGAAGCGUCUGGAAAGGCGUGCGAUACAGGGUGACAGCCCCGUACACAAAAAUGCACAUAUUGUGAGCUCGAUGAGUAGGGCGGGACACGUGGUAUCCUGUCUGAAUAUGGGGGGACCAUCCUCCAAGGCUAAAUACUCCUGACUGACCGAUAGUGAACCAGUACCGUGAGGGAAAGGCGAAAAGAACCCCGGCGAGGGGAGUGAAAAAGAACCUGAAACCGUGUAC
rnacentral:rRNA from 1 species